rnacentral:lncRNA from 1 species
AUGGCAGGGGGGGGGGUUGGGGGGUGGGGAGCAUUCCCUGCAAGUCCUGAGAUUCUUUCUGAUUGGUCUGGCUUAGGUCACAUGCCCAUCCCUCAAACCAAUCACUGUAGAGGGGAUAUGCUGAUUGUUUUGGCCCACUCUAAGGGGCCAGCAGAGAUAGGGAGGGUAUCAAUUUUAGUCAAACCUGCGGGAGGGCAGGGAGUACAGCAGAGGGCUGUGUGCCAAGCAGGAGAGGAAGGCUGUUGCAGAGCGAGGAGUCUGAGUGAGGAACAGGGCAGGAGUAGGGGGCAGUGUAGAGCCGGCUGGGAAGCAGGUGUAGAGUCACAGAUGGCAGGGGUCCUCUGUAGCAGAGCAGCCAGGCAGCCCUGAAGGGAGGGUAGAGCUACACAGAGCUGGGGUCAAGGGCCCAGAGAGCAGUUUGCAGCUGGGGAGCAGCCCUGUCCUCCCCAGCUUGGGGUCUGACACUGCCCUAGCUGGCGGGCAUGCCCUUCGCUCCUGAGGAUCUCUGCUGCCAGGUAGCUUCUAGUCAGUGUCUUUCUCGGGUUGCUCCAGAUGGCCAGGGGGUAAGGAGGCUGCUUCUAGCAGAGGGCAUCAGAGCUACUGCUCUCAAGUCCACCUGAAUGGCUUCCUAGAGUUAGAGGAGGGUGUCGUUCUGAGAGCUGGAUGUGGUGUGGGAGUGGACGGGGCGGGGGCAGAACAGGGGCUCCUGUUCUAACUGAGGCUACGGGCGGGCCCUUGGUGUGGGUUUUUUUUUUUUUUUCUUUCCUUUUAAAGAUUUUAUUUAUUCAUGAGAGACAUAGAGAGAGAGAGGCAGAGACACAGGCAGAGGGAGAAGCAGGCUCCAUGCAGGGAGCCCCAUGUGGGAUUCGAUCCUGAGACUCCAGGAUCAUGCCCUGGGCCGAAGGCAGGCACUAAACUGCGAGCCCCCCAGGGAUCCCAACCCUUGGUGUUCUUGCUGAGCUCUGGCAUGGAGUCUGGCCCACAGAUGGGCUUCAGGAAAUGUCUGUGGAAUUAAGGAAGCAAUUUAUUGGAAACGGGUCUCACUGCAUUAGUCCUUCCCACCUAUAUCUGGCUGGGUGACCCUCACUUAGUCACAAACCCUCUCUGGGCCCGGAGGUUCCUCAUGGGUCAAGUGACGGGGGUCCCAUCCAGCUCUCACCCACUUCAGCUCUUCGGUGGCCCAUAGGGGACCCAGGCUCUGGCGGCCACACUGGCUCCAUCCAUCCCUCGCCUCUGGAGGCCCAGCUGCCCUCAGGCCUUCUUGGUGCCCCUAGCAGAGCAGGCCUAGGCCAGCCAGGGCAGAGGGAAGAGGCGUUCGAGAUGCUGUAAUUAUUGUAAAGAGGAGAGUUUAAGUGUUCAGUUUUAUGAGCUAGCCGGCCCUCUCUGUCAGCAGAAAGCCGCGCAGCUCCCUGGGUGAGAGUUAAUUUCCUCCGUGGCUCGUUUCCUCACCGGCCCUCAUUUUUCUCUGCUGCUUUAUGGCUUUGGAAGGCGCUUGGAGCAGUGUGUGGUGGCAGUGGCUUCACACACUGGAGCGGGAAGGCCCCCGAACCCCCCUGCCCGAGCCAGACCUGAGGGCAGCCUGGCCCUGCCACGGGCUGCGGGGCCGGUGACCCCUGUGCUUGAGGCGACUCGGGGGCAGCAGGCUGGGAGGGCAAGAGGAGCAGUGAGGCUGGGCCAAGCCAGCCCAGCCAAGCCAUGCCGUCUGGCACCUCCUUGACAGGCUUGCAAGGAACAAUCUAAAUCGAAUGGUGGUCAGCCAGCCUUGUAGAGGUCCCAGGCCCCUCAGUUAAACAGUGCAAGAUUUUGCCCUGUGGCUCAUAGAGAAUAAAGGAAGGGAGGGUGGGAAAAUGUUCCACCUUUGGCUUCAGACCGACCUGGGUUCAAAUCCCAGCCCACCAUAGCUGUAUCAUCUGGCUGAGUGACUUCCCCCCAGGCUUUCUUCCUGAGCCACACUGUCACUCGGGAUGAUCUUCCCGCUUCCUCUGUGAGUUGUGGGGAAGCCCAGGUCCUGUUGAGCCAUGAGACGACCUCUAAGAUGCCACAGGUCCUCCCAAGACCAGGAGUAGCCUGUCACCCCCGUCAGGCCUAGCCAUGCACCACCCAGAGGGGUGGGGAACUGGGAGAUCCAGGUUCCCUUUUGAAGCCUUGCUCUGGCUCUUGCUCUAACUUGAGCACGCAGCUGCCCACCUCAGCAAACGUCCUUCAGGCUGCAGACCCCUAAGAGACUUCAUUAAGUUGUGGAUCCUCUGCCGAGAAAACUGCACACACGGGACCUCACAGAUUUGGUAAGUGAUUUCAGAGGUUCCUGUCUGUGGAUUCAAGUUCAGAGCCCUGAGCUGAUGGUUUUUCCAGCCCUAACCUGCUAUGACUUCAUGUGGGGUCUGGAGUGUGUUUCACGCGGUUACUCUUGUCCUUUCUGAAACCGGCAGUAUCUGGAUUCUGAGAUUGGCCCCAACCUGUAGUCCCACCUAACUGUAUUCUGGGAAGGAAGAGAAGCUGUUAUAAAUGUCCAACAAGCCCCAUAGUGGCUGGCUUGCUUGGCUUACCUCCCCUAUGCUGAGGACAUCUGUGGUUUGUCCCCAGAAUCCAUCCCUUCUUCCUUCUGGAAAUCAUCCUCCAAACCCCUUAGGACCACCCCUCCCAUAUCUCAGCCUAGGAUUGGUGAGCUGAUUCACACCCACCUUUAGGAGCAGGCCACCUGAUUGGCCACCCAGCACAUCCCCUCCUCCUAAUUGUAGCUAUUGGUCCAGAAAUGGUCAGGUAAGGAAAUAGAGUCAAUGAGACUCAAGGAUAUUUCUAGUGUUUCUGGGAAAGCAAGCCUGAAGAAAUCUUCACUCUUCCCCUGAAGGACAUGAUAUAAGAUGAGAAAGACUGCAACUAUGUUGCUACCAGGAAGGGAUAGUCUGGAGCUGCACAAGGUGGGGGUGGAGGAGGCUCUGUGGGGAGGGUGACACUCUCAAGAAGUCAGACAAGAGAGAUGGAGAGAAGCAAGUUCUGUGAUGACAUCUUUGGAAUUGCUGGACCAAGCCUCACCUGAUGCUAACACUACCUCCAGACUUUAAAACCAUAUAGCUCAAUAAACUCCCCUAUGACGUAACCAACCAGACCUGAGUUUUCCUGUCACUUGCAAACAUAAAACGUUCUAACUGCAACUCAACUCUCUACCAGCUGGACUAGACUAAGAAAAGAUCAGGAAGGAGAGCUUGGGAGUCAGGAAGACGAAAUUCUUCCAAAGGAUGUGGGAAAUCGGAAUAUCCACCCACCCACCUGGUGCUGGGAAAACUUCAGAAAAAAAGCCACAGCUGAGAGAGUAGAUGAAUUUUUUGGUAUUAUUUGUCUGGACAGGAGAAAAUGUUGGCUAUUUUGUGUUUGAUUAAUCACCAAUUCCUUUUU